rnacentral:tmRNA from 1 species
GGGGCUGACUUGAUUCGACGGGAUUCGCGGAAACCCAAGGUGCAUGCCGAGGGCGGUUGGCCUCGUAAAAGCCGCAAAAAAUAGUCGCAAACGACGAAGAAAACUACGCUUUAGCAGCUUAUCAACCUGCUAAGAGCCUCUCCCUAGCUUCCGCUCUUAAGACGGGGAAUAAAAGAGAGGUCAAAACCUAAAAAGAGAUCGCAGUGGAAGCCCCGCCUGGAAGGUUGAAGCGUUAAAACUAAUCAGGCUAGUUUGUCAGUGGCGGUCUGUCCGCAGCUGGCCAGCGAAUGUAAAGACUGGACUAAGGCGAAAAGCCGAGGAUGUGAAUUUCGGACGCGGGUUCUAACUCUCCCGCCAGCUCCACUG